rnacentral:pre_miRNA from 1 species
UUAACUCAUAUUUGUAUGGAGUUGGAACGUUUGUUUACGUUUGCCGCUAGGGGCGCUGUUUUAGAUACAUACAAAUAUGACUUA